UACGUAGGGGGCAAGCGUUGUCCGGAUUUACUGGGCGUAAAGGGCGCGUAGGCGGUCAGCACAAGUCAGUUGUGAAAUCUCCGAGCUUAACUCGGAAAGGUCAACUGAUACUGUGCGACUAGAGUGCAGAAGGGGCAACUGGAAUUCUCGGUGUAGCGGUGAAAUGCGUAGAUAUCGGGAGGAACACCAGUGGCGAAGGCGACUACCUGGCCUGUUUCUUGACGCUGAGGCGCGAAAGCUAGGGGAGCAAACGGG
rnacentral:rRNA from 1 species